rnacentral:lncRNA from 1 species
GUGACUUUCUGGUUCAUUUUUAUAAUCGUCGCCAAGUAGGUAGCAUCAAACAACUGCAGACCUAAUUGGCACCCAGGAGAAGGGCGUGGCCCUAGCUUCAACACGUCCGUUUCGGCCCAGAGCUUAGUAUGUUCCCCAGAUAAGUAACGUGAAUACCAGAACGAUAUCAGGUACGAGAACCACUUCCUCGAGACAGUUACCCAUGGGUUCGAAGAACUGUUAAUUAGCUCCGGAGGCAACCACCAUGCAUCAAAUUUUCACCUGACGCCUCCCGAAGAAGAUCUGGAGCUGUAGAUAACCUAGGACAGCACCGGAAGAAGAUUUCACACCACAAGCUAAGUCUUUAUUUGAAUCUUAUAUUUGCCUGUCAGCAGAGACAGUUUUUUUUAUAUAAAGUAGCUUCACAUUGACUAUAAUGUAGAUCCUAAAUUAUAACCAAUGAAAUGAGAAAAUAAAGCAUUUAUACCGAAA